AACCCUUCGGGGGGAAGCCGGUGGAAUGAGCGGCGGACGGGUGAGUAACACGUGGGCAACCUGCCUUUCAGACCGGAAUAACCCCGGGAAACCGGGGCUAAUGCCGGAUAAUCAAGCGGUUCGCAUGAACCGCUUGUAAAAGGGGGGAGUUUUCUCCUCCCACUGGAAGAUGGGCCCGCGGCGCAUUAGCUUGUUGGUGGGGUAACGGCCUACCAAGGCGACGAUGCGUAGCCGACCUGAGAGGGUGAUCGGCCACACUGGAACUGAGACACGGUCCAGACUCCUACGGGAGGCAGCAGUAGGGAAUCAUCCGCAAUGGGCGAAAGCCUGACGGUGCAACGCCGCGUGAACGAAGAAGGUUUUCGGAUCGUAAAGUUCUGUUGUGAGGGAAGAACACGUGCCGGUCGAACAGGCCGGCACCUUGACGGUACCUCACGAGAAAGCCCCGGCUAACUACGUGCCAGCAGCCGCGGUAAUACGUAGGGGGCAAGCGUUGUCCGGAAUUAUUGGGCGUAAAGCGCACGCAGGCGGUCUCGUAAGUCUGAUGUGAAAGCCCACGGCUCAACCGUGGAGGGUCAUUGGAAACUGGGAGACUUGAGUGUAGGAGAGGAAAGUGGAAUUCCACGUGUAGCGGUGAAAUGCGUAGAUAUGUGGAGGAACACCAGUGGCGAAGGCGACUUUCUGGCCUACAACUGACGCUGAGGUGCGAAAGCGUGGGGAGCAAACAGGAUUAGAUACCCUGGUAGUCCACGCCGUAAACGUUGAGUGCUAGGUGUUAGGGGUUUCGAUGCCCUUAGUGCCGAAGUUAACACAUUAAGCACUCCGCCUGGGGAGUACGGCCGCAAGGCUGAAACUCAAAGGAAUUGACGGGGGCCCGCACAAGCAGUGGAGCAUGUGGUUUAAUUCGACGCAACGCGAAGAACCUUACCAGGUCUUGACAUCCUUUGCCCGCUCUGGAGACAGAGUUUUCCCCUUC
rnacentral:rRNA from 1 species